GAUGAACGCUGACAGAAUGCUUAACACAUGCAAGUCAACUUGAACUUCGGUUUGGGUGGCGGACGGGUGAGUAACGCGUAAAGAACUUGCCUCACAGUUAGGGACAACAUUUGGAAACGAAUGCUAAUACCUGAUAUUAUGAUUUUAGGGCAUCCUAGAAUUAUGAAAGCUAUAUGCGCUGUGAGAGAGCUUUGCGUCCCAUUAGCUAGUUGGAGAGGUAACGGCUCACCAAGGCGAUGAUGGGUAGCCGGCCUGAGAGGGUGAACGGCCACAAGGGGACUGAGACACGGCCCUUACUCCUACGGGAGGCAACAGUGGGGAAUAUUGGACAAUGGACCAAGAGUCUGAUCCAGCAAUUCUGUGUGCACGAUGAAGUUUUUCGGAAUGUAAAGUGCUUUCAGUUGGGAAGAAAAAAAUGACGAUACCAACAGAAGAAGUGACGGCUAAAUACGUG
rnacentral:rRNA from 1 species